rnacentral:rRNA from 1 species
CCUACGGGAGGCAGCAGUGAGGAAUAUUGGUCAAUGGUCGGGAGACUGAACCAGCCAAGCCGCGUGAGGGAGGAAGGUACAGAGUAUCGUAAACCUCUUUUGUCAGGGAACAAAGGCGGGGACGAGUCCCCGGAUGAGUGUACCUGAAGAACAAGCAUCGGCUAACUCCGUGCCAGCAGCCGCGGUAAUCCGGAGGAUGCAAGCUUUAUCCGGAUUUAUUGGGUUUAAGGGGUGAGCAGGCGGUCUGUUAAGUCAGCGGUCAAAGCCCGGGGCUCAACCCCGGCCAGCCGUUGAAACUGGCAGGCUAGAGUUGGAGAGAAGGACGCGGAAUGCGUGGUGUAGCGGUGAAAUGCAUAGAUAUCGCGCAGAACUCCGAUGGCGAAGGCAGCAUACCGGCGCUCAACUGACGCUGAUGCACGAAGGUGUGGGUAUCGAACAGGAUUAGAUACCCUUGUAGUC